AUUCCUUUUCUUUCCCAAGGUAACGAGUUACUCUUUCUUCCUCAUUUCUUCCCCACCUGCUCCUCCUCCUUAUUUUUGCCUCUCUGCCCUCCCUAGCUGGCAAAAUCGACAGAUCGGGUUCCCUCAUUUCUUCUCCAGGUCACGGGUUCUUCAACAUUUUUGUCCAGGUUGUGCUCUCAUCUUUUCCUUCGUCUUCCUCAUUUUUCUCCCCUCCCGUCUCCUUAUUUCUUCCCCUGAGUCUCUUACCGAGUUUCUUCCCAGCACCUCCACCCAAUCUCUGCUCGGUCAAAAAGGAAAAAAUCCCUCUCGUCUACUGUCUGCUUGGGCGCUCACCCAUCUCUGCUCGAAACCAGAUCCGCAAUUCCUACGCUAGGACCCAACGGACCACAAAGAGAAUAUAAAAGAUGAAGAACUUUUCGGAAGAGUUCAGUGGAGAAGAAGAUGAGAGUUUAGUUCAAAGAAGAUGUUAUUGUGGGUUAAUUUGUAGAAUAUGGAUGUGCAAGCAAGGACACAAUAAGGGCUUGGAAUUUUAUGGAUGCCCGAGAUACAAGGGACCUAAUUGCAAGGGUUGCAAAUUCUUCGAAUGGGUGGGUGAUACCAAGAACAUCACAAAAAUGCUGGAAAGGCUGGAAAAAAUGAUGAGAUUUUGAAUAAAAUGCUGAAUGAUGUAAUUUUAUAUUUAAAUUUUAUAAGUAUCAUUGUACUGAUAUUGUUGCUCUAUGUUACAGUCAAAUGACAAAGCAACAUAUCAGUGAAUGACGUACUGAUGUAUCUAAAUAUCCUAUUGUAAAUGAAUGUUCAAACUGGUUAUGGUUAUUUGUUAUGGUUCAGUUGUUA